GUUGAUUAUACAAAUACAAAAAUGAUAUACAGCAGAAUCAACAGCACAUAAAGGUAAGUGAGCAACAGCACAAGCAAUCAUUAAACAUUCACAUGCAUUGGUUUCAACUACAGGUCCUCACAGAUGUGAUUGGAUUGCAUCCUUAUUCAGACAGGGAGAAUUUUGCUCUGAUUCAAGAGCAGAUGACAGAGCACUCUGACCUUGUGGAGACCAGAAUGAAAAAAGAGAAGAAGGAAAGGGAGGAGAAAGGUCAAACCGGUUUCUCAGAGGAGCAGAGAAGACAAGAGGAGUACUGUCUAUUGGCAGAGCUUGCCCGCAUUGAGCAGGAGCUCAGAGAAAAGUCUCGCAAAGAGCUGGAGAGACAGGAGGCCCUGGAGAGAGCGCGCAGUGAGGCGAACCGUGACAGGUGGAGGAACCUCAGCUAUAUGGCCCUCAGCCAACGCGUGAACAAGUACGUUCCCAUCCGAACGCAGGUACAUUCAGUGGCAGACUCUGCAAUGUUUGUCUUCUCUGGAAUGUUCUUUGAAAAUUCUUAGGAUUUUUUUUCCCCCCUGUAGUCAAGGGAUUUGGUAACUAUACAAAAGAAGAUCCCCACAAUUAUUCUACAAAAUCCUUUGUGUCGUUUUGUUUUUGCAGGCCAUGGGUGUUCAGUUAUUUUAAGAACAUUCCCAUGCACAUUUACUGCCAGCCUAUCAGAAGACCGCCCCAGGUCCGACACCGCAAGAAGUGGCGAUAAUCAGUGUAGCCUGGACAGAGCGCUGAGCUGUCCUGCUGCUGGCUGAGGACAUGGCUGUGUGCAUCUUCAUCAGAACGGUUAUGGCCCUUUUCAAACCUGUUUGCACUCUAAAACAAAGUAGCAUUAGAAGGUUCUGCUUACUAGAAUCUUAAAAAAGUCAGAACAGACCCUCAUUUGCUUGAAUAUUGAAAAUCAUAUAAAUAGACCUAAAAUUGUGAGUCUUUAAUUUUGUGCCAUUUCCAGCUCACUGUAGUCAUUUUAUAUAUUUUUUU
rnacentral:lncRNA from 1 species